AGUGAACGCUGGCGGUAGGCCUAACACAUGCAAGUCGAACGGCAGCACAGAGGAGCUUGCUCCUUGGGUGGCGAGUGGCGGACGGGUGAGGAAUACAUCGGAAUCUACUCUGUCGUGGGGGAUAACGUAGGGAAACUUACGCUAAUACCGCAUACGACCUACGGGUGAAAGCAGGGGACCUUCGGGCCUUGCGCGAUUGAAUGAGCCGAUGUCGGAUUAGCUAGUUGGCGGGGUAAAGGCCCACCAAGGCGACGAUCCGUAGCUGGUCUGAGAUGAUGAUCAGCCACACUGGAACUGGGACACGGUCCAGACUCCUACGGGAGGCAGCAGUGGGGAAUAUUGGACAAUGGGCGCAAGCCUGAUCCAGCCAUACCUCGUGGGUGAAGAAGGCCUUCGGGUUGUAAAGCCCUUUUGUUGGGAAAGAAAUCCAGCUGGCUAAUACCCGGUUGGGAUGACGGUACCCAAAGAAUAAGCACCGGCUAACUUCGUGCCAGCCGCCGCGGUAA
rnacentral:rRNA from 1 species